AAAUUUAUAUGAAAACUAACUUACAAUCAUCAAAAGAGAAUACUUACAAAGACUCAGGAAUUUGACUAAUUUGAAACGUAACAAUAAUAUCAUAUCUUCAAUAGAGGAUGGUUCCUUUGCCGAACAAAGCGCAUUGACAGAAUUGGAGUUAAAUAAUAACCAACUCACUUCUAUUGGAAAUGCAAUGUUCUCGCCCCUGAAAAACCUAAUUUAUCUGGAACUUAGAAAUAAUCGCAUCUCAUCAAUAGAGAGUGGUUUCUUUUCUUACCUAAGCGCAUCGACAAAAUUAUUAAUUACUCUUGAUGAAAAUUUUCUAUGCUGCUCUCGUCUUCUUUAUGAGAAUUUAAAUUAUAAAAGUGAACGAUGCACGUAUGAGGGGGAAAUUAACGAAUACAACACUUUUGAUAAAAACAAAUGCAUUGCUUUGAAGCCUACAUGUCCUACUGCUCAAAGCACUCAAGCCACUAAGCCGGUAAUUUCAUUUCCUCCCUCACCAACUAGGGCGGCGGCAGCAUGUAAAAUUUCUAAUUGUUAUGUAUUUCU